rnacentral:rRNA from 1 species
UACGUAGGGUGCGAGCGUUGUCCGGAAUUAUUGGGCGUAAAGAGCUUGUAGGCGGUCUGUCGCGUCUGCUGUGAAAAUCCGGGGCUCAACCCCGGACUUGCAGUGGGUACGGGCAGACUAGAGUGUGGUAGGGGAGACUGGAAUUCCUGGUGUAGCGGUGAAAUGCGUAGAUAUCCGGAGGAACACCGGUGGCGAAGGCGGCUAUCUGGACCGACAUUGACGCUGAGGCGCGAAAGCGUGGGGAGCAAACAGG